rnacentral:rRNA from 1 species
UACGUAGGGUGCAAGCGUUGUCCGGAAUCAUUGGGCGUAAAGAGCUCGUAGGCGGUCUGUCGCGUCUGCUGUGAAAACCUGGGGCUUAACCCUGGGCUUGCAGUGGGUACGGGCAGACUAGAGUGCGGUAGGGGAGACUGGAAUUCCUGGUGUAGCGGUGAAAUGCGCAGAUAUCAGGAGGAACACCAGUGGCGAAGGCGGCUCACUGGCCCGAUACUGACGCUGAGGCACGAAAGUGUGGGGAUCAAACAGG